UACGUAGGGUGCGAGCGUUAAUCGGAAUUACUGGGCGUAAAGCGUGCGCAGGCGGUUCGUUGUGUCGGCGGUGAAAGCCCCGGGCUUAACCUGGGAAUGGCCGUUGAAACUGGCGAACUGGAGUGUGGCAGAGGGGGUGGAAUUCCGCGUGGUAGCAGUGAAAUGCGUAGAGAUGCGGAGGAACACCGAUGGCGAAGGCAGCCCCUGGGCUAACACUGACGCUCAGGCACGAAAGCGUGGGGAGCAAACAGG
rnacentral:rRNA from 1 species